rnacentral:rRNA from 1 species
GAUGAACGCUGGCGGCGUGCCUAAUACAUGCAAGUCGAGCGAACAGACGAGGAGCUUGCUCUUCUGACGUUAGCGGCGGACGGGUGAGUAACACGUGGAUAACCUACCUAUAAGACUGGGAUAACUUCGGGAAACCGGAGCUAAUACCGGAUAAUAUAUUGAACCGCAUGGUUCAAAAGUGAAAGACGGUUUUGCUGUCACUUAUAGAUGGAUCCGCGCUGCAUUAGCUAGUUGGUAAGGUAACGGCUUACCAAGGCGACGAUGCGUAGCCGACCUGAGAGGGUGAUCGGCCACACUGGAACUGAGACACGGUCCAGACUCCUACGGGAGGCAGCAGUAGGGAAUCUUCCGCAAUGGGCGAAAGCCUGACGGAGCAACGCCGCGUGAGUGAUGAAGGUCUUCGGAUCGUAAAACUCUGUUAUUAGGGAAGAACAAAUGUGUAAGUAACUGUGCACGUCUUGACGGUACCUAAUCAGAAAGCCACGGCUAACUACGUG